CUUACAGCAAGUAAUACAGCCAAAGCUGAAAUAUUUUAUCCAAAGAUGUGACGGUUCAUUCAGUCCAAUCCACCCUGUCAUGUUAAGAGAUUACUAAUAGGCUGCCCAAGGACAGAAGGGGUCUGCCACACAGAGACACCACAACACACACCAAGACCAGGAAACACUCCAGCACAUGAACAGAUGAACGGAUGAAGAAAACACAGUGGAGCACUACUCUGCCAUAAGGAAGGAUAAACCUCAAAAUAAAGGCCAGAUACCAGUAAAACACAGAACAAAGCGGUUUGGAUGUAUCCCAGCCAACCCCCAUGGACCCCUGGACUCCUGCUGACCCUGGCUCCCACAUCCAUGUGGUAUAACACCCAGCUGCAGGGCACCGUGCCAGUGACAGGAAUGGCUGCAGAGGAAAGAAUCAUCUUCCAGAGGCAGAGCUUCGUCCCCAACCUGAAGCCCACCUCUCCGCCCUCAGGAUGUCACGGCAGAACUGAGGCUGUGUUUUCCCAAAGCAGCAACAGGAAGCCUCCAUUAACCCGCCAGCCCUCAUUUGCUAGCGUUAAAAAGGCCGUCCGAGGUUGGUGGGAGCAUCAGCUCUCCGGUUACUACACUCUUUCCACGGGAAAACGUCUUCCAAGUUCUAACACUCAAAGUCGCCAUGAAGAUCUCCAGGGCCUCCAGCUGGAGUCCACGAAAGCAGGUGUUGCCUCUGGCACCCACGACCCCGCUGUGUGACCCGGACAAACAAAUGAGCCUCAAUCUCCUCAGCAAUUAAAUGAG